rnacentral:rRNA from 1 species
UACAGAGGUCUCAAGCGUUGUUCGGAUUCAUUGGGCGUAAAGGGUGUGUAGGUGGCGCCGUAAGUCGGGUGUGAAAUUUCGGAGCUUAACUCCGAAACUGCAUUCGAUACUGCGGUGCUUGAGGACUGGAGAGGAGACUGGAAUUCAUGGUGUAGCAGUGAAAUGCGUAGAGAUCAUGAGGAAGACCAGUGGCGAAGGCGGGUCUCUGGACCAGUACUGACGCUGAGGCACGAAAGCGUGGGGAUCAAACAGG